rnacentral:rRNA from 1 species
GACGAACGCUGGCGGCGUGCCUAACACAUGCAAGUUGAGCGACGAACCAGGGCUUGCCCUGGGGCAAAGCAGCGAACGGGUGAGUAACACGUGGGUAACCUACCCCGAUAACCGGGACAACCCGAGGAAACUCGGGCUAAUACCGGAUGUGCUCACUGGACUUCGGUUCAGUGCGUAAAGGAAGCUUCGGCCUCCGUAUCGGGAGGGGCCCGCGGCCCAUUAGUUUGUUGGUGAGGUAACGGCUCACCAAGACCGCGAUGGGUAGCUGGUCUGAGAGGAUGAUCAGCCACACUGGGACUGAGACACGGCCCAGACUCCUACGGGAGGCAGCAGUGGGGAAUCUUGCGCAAUGCGCGAAAGCGUGACGCAGCAACGCCGCGUGGGGGAAGAAGGCCUUCGGGUUGUAAACCCCUUUCAGGAGGGACGAAGGUUCGGCGGUGAAUAGCCGUCCGGACUGACGGUACCUCCACAAGAAGCCCCGGCUAACUACGUG